rnacentral:snRNA from 1 species
AUGCUCACUUCAGCACCACAUAUACUAAAAUUCGAAUGAUACAGAGAUAGAUUAGCAUGACCCCUGCACAAGGAUGACGCGCAAAUUUGUGAAGCAUUCCAUUAUUUU